UCCUGGUAAUGACUCCAUCUGCCUCCUUGCAAGUACCAAUGCCCUGGCUUUCUGGGUUACCACCUUAAUAGUUCUCCUAACUGUAGCUUUGCUUCUUCAUUAGCUACACACUCAAGUUCUGCUAAGCAUCCAGACCCUUCCUCCUGCCAGCACAAAAAUCUGCCUCGCCAGGCCUUGUAUGUGAAACUCAGACAAUUCUAGCAAACCUAUUCCUUUUUCAGUGGUAGUGCCCCACUUCCACUUGAUGUGUUUCCUGUAUGGAUAUCGGUCAAGGACACACGGUAUUGAGUCAUAUUCUGGCUGGUGGGGCUUUGGAGCCUUCAGGAGUGCCACAUAAAAGCUCUGUCCUCAGACACUCAGGUGGAGCCCAGGCAAAAUGACAACUGUAAGAAAAAUCUGGGCACUCUGAGAUGCAGCAUCUGCGCCACCUGGCAAAGCCCCUGGUUUACUGUUUGGGUGAAGCGAAACGCUCCACCCAUCUUCCUAACUCCUUGCUCUCUGCAUCAAUGUGCUUUGAUAUCAACAACGCUGCCAGAACCCGGGAAAAAGGCUCAUCUGUUGCCAUGGAGGCUUUCAGCUUCUUCAGAGGCCGGGCCUUGAAUCACUGCCUUUGCAAAUAGAUCCCAUAACCAACAACAACAAGCUUAUAUAGAUGGGAAAUUACUUUUCUCUAUCAUAGCUAACAUUGAGAGCUUAUUCUGAACUGAAUUACUGUUCUGGCACUCAGUUACCCUGAUGACAACUCCAUAAAGCAGGCAUACUGCAUCCAUUUUACAGACAUGGAGGCUAAGGAGAGAGGUCAAGAAACUUGCUCAUGAUCUCAGAGCUAGGAAAUGGAGGAGCCAGGGUUCAUACUCGGGCAGACCAGCUCUGUGGUUGACACUCUUACCUUACCUGUUCUCAAGAACUCCAAAAAAGUAGGUUUUCUAAAGAAUGACUACAGAGGUACUUGGUUGAAUCCUGGUCAGUGGUUUCAAUUUUGGUGAGCACAUUUAAAAAGCCCCCUCUAAAACGAUUUAUUCAAUUUAUUCAAGGCUUCUCUUGAGAGACAUUUUUGGCUACAUACAGAUGGAGUAUAUCUUUCUAUUCAAAGCCCUUAAGUCCACCAUAGUGAAUAACGCUAAAAUAAAAUUCUCCCCCCCCUCCCAACACCACCUACACACACAGGAUUUUUGGCCAGGCUCCCACUCUGGAGGUGGGGACUGGUAGCAAAUGUGCACAAUUUCUAUCCCUAAAGGAAGUGUCCCACAGCUUGGCUCUUGGAGCUCAGAGCCUCCUGAGUUUCUCUGUAGGCAGAAAUCUGCAGGGUCCUGGGGACAGAGCCAUUUGGAGGUCCUUUCUGCUCAAACAGCUUAGCCAUCGGAAAGGGAUUUUGUGAUCUUCUCUGGACAACAUGAACAGCAGAAGUAGUACAGACUUUGCCAAAGAUGAGUUCAGUGAGUCAUUGAGAACAGAAAUGUUGCUGGAGGAGUUCAGCUAAAGAUGGUUAGAGAAUCCUGGUGUCCCUCAUCUGCUCUCAUCUUUUGGAGUGACUGUGGAAACUGAUCCCUUGUACGUCAGAGUUGCUAGCACUAGAAAUUUCCAAUGACUUCAUUUGGCCCCAUCACAGACUACAGCACAAUUUCAACUUAUUUUUCUUUUUUUUAGAUUUUAUUUAUUUAUUCAUGAAAGACACAGAGAGAGGGAGAGAGAGGCAGAGACACAGGCAGAGGGAGAAGCAGGCUCCAUGCAGGGAACCCGACGUGGGACUCGAUCCCUGGACUCCAGGAUCACGCCCUGGGCCGAAGGCAGGCGCUAAACUGCUGAGCCACCCAGGAAUCCCCUCAACUUAUUUUUCAAGUCAGACAAUAAAAGCAGCCUUUUUUUGAGACUUUCAUUUGAGCAGAAAUACAUUAAGUUCAUGUUUGAUUUGCAGAAUAUAAAUUUGUUUUCAUUUUUGUAAGAAAUGGCCAUUGAUUUUUGCAUGAAAAUGAGUGGGUGAGGCAUGUGCCUUUUCAGAGUUUGUAUUUACAUCCUAUAUAUGUGAAGAAAACCCACUUCUAACUCAAUACAGUCCGUAAAAGAGUAAGCAGGAUUCUGCACAUGUGCAUUUGUCUGAAGGAGAGGGACCCAUCAGCAAAAGGUGUAGUUAUUUGGCAAUGGCAAUGGGCGAAAAAGGACUAGUUCCUUCCUUUCCUCCUUAAAACCCUGGGCUUAUCUAUAGGUACUUUUCCAAGUAAGUGCUGUGUACAGUGUGGGGUGGACUCUAGUUAGCAGAAUGACCUGGGUUCUCAUGGAUAUUCUGAAUUAUGCAUACAUACCCACAUAGACUAGAGCUAGUGAAAUGACUUGCACAAUAUUCUACCUACCACUGCACAGUAAAAGGGCAUGCACAUUCUUCAAAAUCUUGCCUAGGUCCUUUAGAGAGAAGCAUUCCCAGUUCUUUCCUCUCGAAUGUUCUGCUCCUUUCAUGUGUGUAUGUGUGUGUGUGAGAGAGAGCAAGAGAGCGCGCUCAUGCACACAGGUAUUGUGAGUCAAGAUGCCACGUUUCAUUUAUAACUAGAAUGAGAUCUUAUCUGAAAAAUCUGUGCUGGUUUUGGACAGAGAGCAGAGUGUUCCAACUGAGACCUGGUACUGAGAAUUGCACUAGGCUGUGAGGCAGCUUUUUUUAAUAGAAUCUUUUCAUUUCUGAUGACCACCUGGAUAUGUCUUGCCUACAUAGAGGGAAGGAGGAUUUGCAGCAGAACAAGAGGGACAUUGCAGGAAUACAAAUAAAUGUUUUUACAUUACAAAUAAACAUUUGUAAAUUUAUUUUACAAAUAAAUGUUCUGUGAUAGCUCCUUCAUAAUUUGUGUUAUCUGAGAAAAACAUUUUC